UCUUCCGUAGUAUAGUGGUCAGUAUGUGAGCUUGUCAAUCAAGAGAGAUCUUGAACGUCAUCGCUCGAGACCCGGGUUCAAUUCCCGGCGGGAGAG